AAUGAUGCCGGUGGGCGCACCGCAUGCUGGCUGAGAUGCCACUCGUGCCUUUGAUCAGAGAGGCUGAUUUGUGCACAAAGUUUUGGUCUCUGAUUCCUUGGGGGCUUUCUUUGAGCUCCUGUUGUGAAACCUUCAUUUGCUUUUAACAGCAGCGAGUUUUUUUUUUUCUUAUGAUCUUCUCUUUCCCCCCUCUGUUGCCCUGAGAUAAAGGCUUCUAAAUUUGUCCUGUGCUGAAAACGCAGCUAAUCCUGAUGGACCUGAAUUCGCAUCUUCCCCGAAGGAAUUGCACUAAUUUUUUUUUCCCCUUUGUUCUGCCAGGGGACCUGUCCGUUUCCUCGUGGAAAAAAAAAUCACUAUUUAGGGCAAGGUUUAGAUUCCUGAAACCUGUGUGUUUGUUUGCAAGGAAGGAGGACAGGAGGGAAAUAAAUGAGAAAAGCAUCAUGCUUUUUUUUUUUUUUUCCCCUUCCAAUAUUGUUUUUACAGCAGACAAGUUUUAAUUAAAUUGUGGAACUAGGGCAGUUGUGCUGUCCAGAAGAUGCUCUGAGGACUCGAUCCUUUUCCGCUGGUCCUUUUCCUUUUGCACUGGGAGCUCGGAGCUGCUUGUCCAGCCCCAGGUUCACCACGAAAAGGCUCCUGAUGGGAUUUAGGCACCGGGACGGGGGGGGCUUUGGGGUGUGUGUGGGACCUCCUGCUGCUGGCGGUGAUGGGUGGGCUGGGUGCUGGAUGGGGCUGGCAGCUGGGGGGGUUUGGGUGAUGGUGCAUGGGUGUGAGGGGCACAGAGAGGUGGCAGGAGGUGAAGCAGGAUCUGCUUCAGCAGGGGACCUGCCUGCUGGCACCCGCACUUCAGGAAGCCCGUCUGACCACAAACACUUGCCUGGGGCAGAAAAAUCCAGCGAGAGCUGCCUUGCCCUCAGCCCGGGGCUUUCCCCUGCUCCCAGGUGGUGCGGGAUAGCCAGGCUGGGGGAGCGCUGCCUGAAGGGGGGCUUAGGAGCGGGGAUGGAGGGCUGGGGGUCCUGGGUCUGUUCCUGGGGAGGAUGGAGCAGAUGGAGGGGUGGUGAGAGCAGCGCCCUCACUGCUGGGGCAGCCGCAGAGGGGCUGGGUGGGACGGGGUGGUCGCAGCAGCCUCAGUUUCCCCCUGGCAGGUGCUGGGGGCGAUGUCACAUCCCACCUGCACGGGGAAUUUGGUUUGGUGAGGGACGCAAAGUGCAGCUGCCAGCUCCCAGCACCUCCCUUUCUCCUGUGUUUGUGUACGGGCAGCACCCCGAGAGCCCCCACGGCUGGCAAGGAAGCACCCGGUAGAAAGCUGUGCGGAGACGGAGACACGGACAGCCGGACAGAUCUCAUGCAAACCUCUAGUUGAGCCUCUUCCCCACUCUUCUCCUCCUUCUUCUCCUCCUCCUCCUCCUCCUCGCAGCACGCCCGCGGCUGCCUGGCUCCCUUGGCUCGCGUCCUGCCCAGCACAUGUAAAAGUUGUGCGAGAGCCCGUGCCCGCGUCCCGCUCCCCUCUGCUGCUCGCAGGGAGCCGGCGAGGAGAAGGGGGCGAGAGCCGGGCUGGAAGAAGCCCCCCUGGGCUGGUUCCCGUGAGCCCCGCUUGCCCCAUGGUGGAUUUCUGCGAGGGAAGGUGACUUGGGGAAGAAGCGGCGCUGCGCCGGGUCGAAGGCAACCAUGAAUGAGAUGUCAAGUUUCCUGCACAUCGGGGACAUCGUCUCCCUGUACGCCGAGGGCUCGGUCAAUGGCUUCAUCAGCACUUUGGGGUGAGUGAGCCCUGUCCCGGAGCCUGCUC
rnacentral:lncRNA from 1 species